rnacentral:rRNA from 1 species
UACAGAGGUCUCAAGCGUUGUUCGGAUUCAUUGGGCGUAAAGGGUGCGUAGGUGGCGCCGUAAGUCGGGUGUGAAAUUUCGGAGCUUAACUCCGAAACUGCAUUCGAUACUGCGGUGCUUGAGGACUGGAGAGGAGACUGGAAUUCAUGGUGUAGCAGUGAAAUGCGUAGAGAUCAUGAGGAAGACCAGUGGCGAAGGCGGGUCUCUGGGCCGUAACUGACGCUGAGGAGCGAAAGCAUGGGGAGCAAACAGG